GUAAAAAGUAAAUUAUUUUCUUUAGGAAUGUAGUGAAGUAAAAGUAAAAGUUGUCGAAAAAUAUGAAUAGUAAAGUACAGAUACCCAAAAAACGACUUAAGUAGUACUUUCAAGUAUUUUUACUUAAGUACUUUACACCACUGAGAAAUAGUAUGUGUUGUUAUGGAGAAAAAAUUGAAAACAGGAAAUUCAAUAAUCAAAUCAGACUUCUCUAACUGAAGUGAGAAGGUGUUUAAAUACUUUAACUAAUAUAUUCCAGAUAUUAACUAAAAGGGCAAUCAAUCGUCAUAUGCAGUUUUAGAUAUUUUAGUAGCUUAUUAGUUCAUUUUAAUUCCACCAAUUUCUUCCAAACAUUUAAAUACUAUAUUCACACAUUUUAUUUUGAAUAAUUCUGUGUCUUACCCAAUCAGUAUAAAUCCAAAUAAUUCUCUCCAAUCAUAGAAAGAUUGACACUUGCACAACAUUGAAUUCCAUAACGAUUCAACUUUAAGUCCUUUCUGUGUGUUUUUGUAGGAAAGCUCAACAUGUGAGCAGCAGCCCCAGUCCCCUGGAGGUCUAACCCUGGCCCCUCUGCACUCGGCCCCUCUGUGCCUGGCAGACCCCCUGGCAGUGACCAACUACACAGAGACAAAACACACUGGGAACAACAACCACCUCAAGCUGGCAAUCCCAGAGGUGAAUGAGGACAGAGGUUGGGACAUAGAGAGGAGAGGACAUGGUCUUCAGGGACAGACGGUCUGCAAGAGGACCCGCUCCAACUCUACCAGUAAAACACACACACACACACACACACACACACACACACACACACACACACACACACACACACACACCAUCACACACACACACACACACACCGAUAUGAGUCCUGUAAGGCAGUUGUCAUGAGUUUCCUGUGGUACAUCAUUAGAUACUAUUAAGUGAUUUCCUUCCUUUCCUACAAGAACAUGAGGACAUCAUCAUCUCUAACUGGAUGUUGAGUUUGUCACAUCCUGCACAGAUGUUUUCUAAACUCUGGAAAUGACUAAAUGUAAUGAUGCUUUAAAUUGACCUGGGUAUGUUUUGCAAGUCACUUGUUUUUACAAAUUGCAUUCCUUGCUGUGUGAGCAACUAGCCUUUCCCUGUUUUGACCUGCUUUUGUGAUGAGUAACCAAGCCUCUUGUUAUCUCCCAGAGAAAAUGUCGUAGGCUUUAGCUCAGUGGGCUAAUGUGGUAUUGAGGGAAGCAGAUAACCCAGGUUCCAUACAGUUGCUCACAGUUGGUGUCUGGGGGUUUUGCUUGGUCUCUGGAUAGUAUUGAAUCACAUGACAUUGUAUUGAAUCACAUGACAUUGUAUUGAAUUGUGCUCAGGUGUCCAUCCAUACUGGA
rnacentral:lncRNA from 8 species